UGGAUAUGAUGACUGAUUAUCUGAGAAAAUAAUUGAUGAAAUCUCAUAAAACUAAGAAGAAGAAAGAACUAC